AUUAAACGAAAAUGGACCUUUGGGAAAACGAAAUUUUUGCCCAUUAAGCAGUCCAUUAAAUUAUCUGGGCCCAACGAGUAGUUGAACCCACGCGAAAUGCCUACUGCAUAUCCUAUUAGAUGCGGUGAGGUGGGACGAGAAGUAGGAGCAAACGCCGCCUCCGCCGAAUCUGACAAUGGGCGAUUCAGAUGUUGUUAGACGAAGACAAGUUGAAGAAUAGGACCAUGAGGAUAUUAUCUUGGCUGAUCCUACACUUCAUUUUAAAUACUGCCCAGCUGAUUGCUGCUGGCGGUUUCAUGGGUGGAUUUGAUUUUUGCCUUACUCAUCUGAGCGUCCUAUUUUUUGUUCAAUGAUAAACCCAUGACAUGCUUUAAAAUUCUAUGCACUAUUCAGUUCAUCAAAUUCAAGGUAUGUUUUUGUUUUCUCUUUUAACUUUUGGGUCUUCUAUAAAUUUCAUCAAAGUGUAUUCUUAUGAAUCUUCAGGAUUCAAUUUGGAUCUCACUUUGUUUGUCAUUUCGCUUUGCGUGUACUAAACACAGAAAUGGGCAGAUUGGAAACUGAUGAAUUAAGCAGGUACUUAUGAUUAAAAGAUGCCAUGCCACAUACAUGCCUCCUGGCGCAGCAUUCUGCUGCUGUGCCGAGCUUUCUGUGAUGUGUCUGCAUGAUUAAAGCAAUUUUCUGUUAACUGAUUCCUUUCUGCCCAAUAAUCCUCCUACAACUAAUUAAAUUAAAGAAUAACUGCUAAUCUAGGCUACAAAGUACAAAAACUACCAAAAAUUCUAAAAUUAGGUUAAGGUUUGGAGAAAAGCCGAUGGGUGAGGUCAUUGAGUCGAUCGGCUCUAGGCUUUGUCUUGAUCGAUUUCGCUCAGUUCAUGAUUCUCCCUAUCCCUGAAGUCAAAUCACAUGGACAGAAGACAUAUAAAAUGAUUAAUAUAUAUAAUAAAACGAAAUAAAGAUAAAAUUAAAUUAAAUAGAAUGAAAUUACAUAAAAAUUUGAAAAAGGAACAAAUAGAAAAAGAUAGGAACUUUAUAUGCAUAUCUAAAUUUAAUCAUAUAACCUUAAAGAAAACAGAUCCAAUCACAUAAUCAUAUAACAUAUUAUUUUAAUUAUUUAGUUCAUUCAAUUCAAAGUCCAAUUCAAUUUAUAUUAUCAGAUUCAAAAUUCAAUAUGCAUAAACAUUAAUAAAACAUAAAACUAUUAAAAAAAUUCUAGACUUUGUCAAUAAAUCAUAUAAAACAUUUGAAAUCAAUCCUAACAUGCUUCUAAAAUUAUAAAGUUAAACAAAAAGAAAGAAAAUGCUAAUGAUGUUGGAUUUUGGAACCCUAGAUUGUCAUCAUAUUGUGCUGAUUCUCGAGUCUCUAGAGAUGAUGAGGAGGUAGAUUCAAAGAUUGGAUAUGAAUUUAGUUCUUUUUAAAGUUUUAUUAGAUGUUUGAUUUGUGAAAAGGUUACUGUCGCUCUAAAAAGAUUUCCUAAAGUAAGUUCUUUUUUCACUAACUUUUAUCUCGACUGCUAAAAACUCUAUGCUAAAAAAGACUAAUAAUCGUUGUAGCUAUAUCUAAAUCUAGACUUAGGAUAUAAUGUCAUAUUUAUAGUAGUAAGGUUUAGUAAAUCAUAAAUAGACAAUAUCAAUAAUAAUAAAAAUAAAAAUCUUUUAAUUUAUUGGAUGUUCAGUUAAAUGAACAUUAAAAAUAAAAUUCAUUUAAAUUCAAUAUUUACUGCUAAUAUCUUGUAGAAGGUUCUUUUGGCAUUUUAUAUCAAAUAAAUCCAUAAAAUGACAUCACAAAGCCAAUCGGCUCUAUGUACAACAAACUCGGCUAUAUAUAGAGCUGAUUGGCUCAGGGGCUAAAAGAUUCUAAAAUUUCUUGCAAUUUAGUCCCUAAAUUUUUAAAAUUGUCAUUUCAUAGCUUAAGUUUAAUUUUUUAUCAACUAGGUCCAAAUUGAUUUUAAAAAAGAACAAUUUUGGUUCAAUCACUCACAAUCCUAAUUAGGACUCACCUGUCGUCAACCUGCUGAGACUCGAAAAAAACAGUAACUCCAUCAUCGGGUUUUCUAUAAUUUAUCCAAAGAAUAAUUUAUCCAAAGAAUCAUCGGGUCAACUCUUUAAUGGUACAAGUAGUCAUGAUAUUAUCAAAGAAUAAUUUAUCCGUUAGAACUGAAUACCACGGAAUGUAAACAUAAAUAUAAGAGAAAUUAUAAAGCGAGUUUAUAAAAAUGAGGUUCUCUUUACAUACGUUUUAAAACUUUGUUCAUAGUCGAUGUUUGAUUAAGAAUUAGAUAUUUAUCAUUGGAUAUUGAUCAAAUGUUUGAGAAUAAAAUAAUAUGUUAUCACUUGUGAAGUAAGCAAUUUGUCUCAUAAAAUUGAGAAAUAGGGAUUCUGAGAUAAGCAUAUAAGUGGUUAUUAUAAGAACAAGUUUAUUAAACAGACCUUAAUAAGUAAUCCAUAUGGAAUUUUCCCCAAGUGUCCAUGGAUAAUACUCUUGUGAUAAUCAUGUAAGAUGUGAUUCUUAGAUUUGAGCUAGUAGUAUAUUAUCUUAUAUGGGGAUUAUUAUAUUUUGUUACUAUCGUAUGUCCUCCUACCUAUAAAGUGCUCAAAGAAUAGUUAUUGGGUAUAGUAAGAGUCAUAUUAAGAUAAUAAGUUAUCAAUAAAAGAUGCAUUGCCGCAGAUAAUAUGUCAUGAGAUUUUAUCCUGAUGAUUCUUGAUACACAAUAAUAUGAAAAUCUUUAGUCAAUGUUGUAUGAAUAAAAAUUAUGAAAAGUAUUUAAUAGAUUUUAUUCAAAAUGUUAUAUGUAAUUAUCAAAACAAAUAUGAUUCGUUCAAUUAUGGAGUUGACAUUUGCAUCCAUACUCUAUGAAUCAAUUGAGAUAAAAGUACGAUGAAAGGAUUAAAUUAUAUUGUUAGAUUGUUCACUGCAAAGGUUGAUUAAAGCACUUUAAUCAUUCUUAAACAUUUUGGUGGUUAUGAUGCAUUUCUAGAUGUCAAUCUUGAUAAUGAAUAUGGAUUAAGUUAAUUAGAGAAUUAACAUUAAAUUAGAAGAGUUCAAUUCAUAAUCCAUGCCAACAUGUUAGGAACCUUUUGGGUCAAACACAAAUAGGCUUUAAGUGAGGAUUAAAUGAGGUUUCAAGCUUUGAACUUAAGCUCAUAUAUAUUGGGCCUAAUUAAAAAAGGUUAAUUAAUUAAGAACUAAUAGGCCUAUCAAGGUUUAUUAUUUAUGGAUUAGAUCUUAAUUAAUUAAAAUUCUAUUAUGAAAAAGAAAGUCCAACUUAAUGUAAGCUAGGGUUUUGUACAAUUCUAAACCUUUAAGGAUUUUGAUUAAAAGGUCAUAUAUAUAUAGAAAGGGAUGCAUGGAGCAACAUGUAUUGAUGUUUUUAUUAAGAAAACAUUUUCUUGAAAAGAAUAUUGUAAGCACCUGUUUUCCAAAUCUAACUAUCGAGGGAAUUACGAAAAAUCUGAUGAUGAAAAUUACUGUUUCUCUUUAGUCUCGAGAGUUUGAAGACAAUUGAAUCCCUAUUAAGGUUGUAAAUAAUUGAACCUAAAUUAUUUUUUGAAAUCAAGUUGGACUAAGUUGAUAGGAACAAUAAGUUCAAGGGGUGAAAUUUAAACUUUAAAAGUUUAGGGACCAAAGUAUAAAAUUGACUAAAACUUUUUGCCCUUUGAACCAAUCGGCUCUAUGUAUAGCUGAAUUGGUUGUACACAAAGUCGAUCAACUCAGCAUAGAGCCGGUCGGCUCUGUAUAGAUCCAAUCGGUCUAUAUAGUCCCGAUUCAAAAUCUGAUGUCGUUCGGUGCAAAACGCCAAAAUUAAUGAAAAUACGUCUUCUAGAACACUUAAUUGAUAAAUAAUCAAAUUUUUAAUAAUUUUUCAUGAUCUAUUCAAUAUUUAUCAGUAUUUACUAAUAAACACUUCUUAUAAGUUCAAAAUUAUUUUAUUUAAUUAUGGGUAUUUAUCAAAGAGUUGGAAUAUAUAUCAAAAAGCCUUUAGAGUUUCCUAACAUUCCCUUAUAAAUAGAAUAAAAACCUUGAGCUUAAGGAGGCAAUAAUCAAGAGAGAGCCUAGAUUGUGUUUUGCCUCAUAAAUAGAAUAAGAGCCUUGAGACUUAGGUUUAUGUGGUUAAUAUUUAUUUUCCAUGUGCUAUAUGUUUAGAAAUAGGUUUUGUAUGAUUUUGCUUGAUUAUGUAGUGUUUAUGGUUCCUAGAUUGUGAAACAGAUAACAUGUUUUUGGCAUUAUAAUAAAACAUGAUUAGGGUUUUAACAAUUCAAUCUUUCAUUAUAAUAAAAUAGGGUUAUUUAUUGGUUUUUUUGGCAUGUGUACUAAUCAUUUACUUGUCUUAUGCAUGUAUAUCGAGUUUUUGGGCUGUGGAGCAUCAAAUUAAAGCAAAUCGGCCUAGUAAGAAUUCUAGACUCGAUUGGCUAUGCGUAGAGCCGACAAGUUCUGUGAUAUGGCCAGUCGGCUGAUCAUCCAAUUUGUCUUUCUUUUUGUAAUAUAAUUUUGAGAUUUUUGCUUAUUUUUUGUUAAUUUUUGCUUAUUUGUUAUUAUUUUCGACUUAAUUAGUUGUAGAGAGAUUAGAAUAAUUAUUUUUAUAUUUCUUUUGUUUAUUUUAGUUUGCUUUUUAAUGAAAUAUCUUCUUAGAUAAUUAUAAAUUAAAAAAUGGGCUUUUACGCCUAGGGCUUAGAAUUGGAUCUUUGCAUGCAAUAUGUAAGUUACUAGGUUUAAAGAAUGGUAAAUUUG
rnacentral:lncRNA from 1 species